rnacentral:rRNA from 1 species
UACGUAGGGAGCAAGCGUUAUCCGGAUUUACUGGGUGUAAAGGGCGCGUAGGCGGGAUGGCAAGUCAGAUGUGAAACCCAGGGGCUCAACCCCUGAACUGCAUUUGAAACUGUCGUUCUUGAGUACUGGAGAGGUUGACGGAAUUCCUAGUGUAGCGGUGAAAUGCGUAGAUAUUAGGAGGAACACCAGUGGCGAAGGCGGUCAACUGGACAGCAACUGACGCUGAGGCGCGAAAGCGUGGGGAGCAAACAGG